UACGUAGGGGGCUAGCGUUGUCCGGAUUUACUGGGCGUAAAGAGCGCGCAGGCGGUCGUUCAAGUCGCGUGUGAAAGCCCCCGGCUCAACUGGGGAGGGUCACGCGAUACUGAUCGACUCGAAGGCAGGAGAGGGUAGUGGAAUUCCCGGUGUAGUGGUGGAAUGCGUAGAUAUCGGGAGGAACACCAGUGGCGAAGGCGGCUUCCUGGACCAGAGCUGACACUGAGGCGCGAAAGCGUGAGGAGCGAUCCGG
rnacentral:rRNA from 1 species